AACGAACGCUGGCGGCAUGCCUAACACAUGCAAGUCGAACGAGACCUUCGGGUCUAGUGGCGCACGGGUGCGUAACGCGUGGGAACCUGCCCUUAGGUUCGGAAUAACUCCCCGAAAGGGGUGCUAAUACCGGAUAAUGUCUUCGGACCAAAGAUUUAUCGCCUUUGGAUGGGCCCGCGUUGGAUUAGCUAGUUGGUAGGGUAAAAGCCUACCAAGGCGACGAUCCAUAGCUGGUCUGAGAGGAUGAUCAGCCACACUGGGACUGAGACACGGCCCAGACUCCUACGGAAGGCAGCAGUGGAGAAUAUUGGACACUGAGCGAAAGCCUGAUCCAGCAAUGCCGCGUGAGUGAUGAAGGCCUUAGGGUUGUAAAGCUCUUUUACCCGGGAUGAUAAUGACAGUACCGGGAGAAUAAGCACCGGCUAACUCCGUG
rnacentral:rRNA from 1 species